UGGUCUAUUUGAAUGACAAUGUCAAUUGAAAGUGUCUAUGAAUUAUGAUUACUCGAACUUUACUUGUGCCAGAGGUGCUGCAGAUGCAUCACCAGAGACUUUGCUGAAAAAUUGCACUAUAGCUGGAAUUGACAGACGAGUGUUCCCAUCUAGUGUCUUUCUGGCUUAUUCUGGAUCAACUCCAGCAGCUUGGUACACCAAUUCUUCAACCUUUCUAUAGAUGGAUAGACUUUUUUUUUUCCUUCCAGCAUCAUUUUAAUUGAAUAUGAGAUGAUGCUUGUUGAAUGGUGAGUUAAUAAUCCAGUCAUUGAAACUAAGUAUUUACCCCAUCUGUUUUCUGAGAUGCUGGGCGUGGAGGAUGGAUAGAGCGCUGAUUGAAAAUGGAUAUAUGGGGAGAGAUUGAUGAAUGUCUGGGGACCACUUGAGUAGGCAUGGAUGGUUCUAAUAUAAAUGGGUUGCUUCGUUCUGUUACAUGAUAAUUGAAUAUCAUGAAUAGUGCGUGCGGAAUUAUCACGUUCAAAUGUGCAAGUAUCGACUGCCAGUGAUGAUGGCCUAGUGGGUCUGCCCACCUUGGAUUGACGGGUCACAAAUGGGGCUAAGUCAUGACUUGCGAACAUUUCAUCGUGAGAUAAUGCCCAGAGACAGUAGACAUGCUGGUUGUUCCUCCUUGCACAUUCUGGAUUGGCAAGGAUAAGAAAGCAAAGAAGUGGCAAGUAGAGGGAUACACUGAUUGUUGUGACGUGAUCAACCAAAUUUGGCGUGUUUCCAUAAUUUACUACCUUUGAUGUUCAGUUUCGGAGUAUUGCUUUUGCAAAAUUUGGACCAUUGAAUGGCAUCAUAAACACUUCUUUGAUCAUGGCUCAUUUUGUCUUUGGGCAUUGAUCAGUGAUGAAUAAAUUUCUCUGCACAAUACUACUUUUAGUUUUAUUGAAUCUAUUCUCUUUGAUUGUUUAAGAGAAACUUGUGACGGAUAGAAUGCUUCAUGUUUGCUUCUUUCUGCAUCCACGUCUCAGUUUUUCUGAAUAAAAAUCUGUCAGACAGUGGCUACAGCAUUUGUAGAAGGCGCUGCAGAUGCAUGACGGGAGAUUGUGGCAGAUAGAGUGUGCUCGCUAGCUGAAUUAAUCUGAGGCGCAUCAUCUUCUGCCUUAUGGGGAUUGAUUCAAAUCUACUUGAUAUAACCAUUCUUCAACUUUUCAGAUGUUUGAUGGAAAAGGCUGGUUGUGUAACUCAAAGAAAGGAAUCUAUUUGAGCAAAUCAGAAAUUGAAUUGAAAGGUAGAUAAACAUACACACACAAAGGCUCCCACUUUCCAACGAUAUGAACAGGAUAUCCUAGGAGAUCAUGAACCUUCAAGAUGAGAUCUGAGAAUUUUUCCGGGAAUAAUUGUAAAGUUGUCUGAGAGAAGUCAACAAUUGACCAAAUUUCAAACGAGUUAAAUGCAUUUAUUGCAAUCGUCACAUACUACGGCCAGUCUUUCCAUGUUCAUCAGUGAUCCCAAGCUCUCGAGGCUGUCCUCAGUAGAAGGGUAAGAAGCAAACAUGUUAGAAUCAACAC